rnacentral:rRNA from 1 species
UACAGAGGGGGCAAGCGUUGUUCGGAAUUACUGGGCGUAAAGGGCGCGUAGGCGGCGCACCAAGUCAGGCGUGAAAGCCCUGGGCUCAACCCGGGAAUUGCGCUUGAGACUGGUGUGCUUGAGUACGGGAGAGGAUAGUGGAAUUCCCAGUGUAGAGGUGAAAUUCGUAGAUAUUGGGAAGAACACCGGUGGCGAAGGCGGCUAUCUGGACCGUAACUGACGCUGAGGCGCGAAAGCGUGGGGAGCAACAGGG